GUUGACAGCGGUGGUGGAGGAAGCUUCUAACAGCUCUGUAUCACAUUCAUAGCAGAGGCCACAAGAGGAACCUGAGGGGAUCCAAUGCAUGGAGUUAAUAACAACACCAGAUGACAGCAGGGAUAAACUGGAGUAACCCACACUCCUCAAAAACUCUCAUGGGGAUAAUCCACCCCACUAAAUAAAUGGGAUCGGUGAAACUGGUAACCCCCAAGAGACAGGACCAGUGGAGCGGGACCAGGCUUGAAAAUCUUACCCCCCCCGAGCUCAUCUCCAAAGACAGCAUCCAAGCAUUGAGGUGCCUAUUCUCCCCCCGGAGAAAGCAAGAGCCAUGGACCCCAAACCAGCUACACUGCCUGGACCACGUGUUACUUUUCUUGAACUGACAAUUGGACUGCGGACAAUUUCCCUAGAGAAUGACGGACAGAGGAAGACUUGUGUUAAAUAUCUCAGACUGCAACAUCUGGGCACAGAUUAGUAUUUGAAGAAUUUUAGUUCUAAACUUAAUGUGCAUGACUGUUCUUUGUAACUGUUUUUGUUAUGUUGUAAUUAUAGCAAGCUCAGAGCUCAACAGAGGCUACGCGCAAGUGCUAUAUCUAUCUCUCUUUUAACAACCUAAUUUCUGCAUGCCAUAUUUACCCAGUCUACCCUGUCGCACACUGCAUACUCAUAUUUAUAACACAAAAAUGUAGCUGAUCAGACUAAGCAAGUAGUGUCCCCAAGGCACAUUAAAACCCAGGCUAAGACCGUUCAACCUGCUUUUAGAUGCUCCAUUGUAAAACCAUUGCACCAUUUUUCUUUAUCUCAGACUAACCAAACUGCACACGAGCUGCUAGCAGAGGUUCCUGUUUGAAUUCUCAUUUCCUUUGUUUUCUGUCCCUUUGUUCUCUCUCCCCAUGCGUGUACGCACGUGCACACUCACAUACUCUCUCUUUCUUCUACCCCAAUUACCUGCUUGACAAUUUCGUUUAUUAGUUGUAGUAAACAGUUUAGGCAGUUUGUGUUUAUAAUUGUGCUUAGCUAUGUUUGAUAAUGUGUGCUAGGUAAAUGUUACUUGCACCCAGUUAUCUGUGUGAUGUCCUUUGAGUAUUAGUUGGAGCCAUCGUAUUCUAUCCUGAAAACAACUGCCUUCAGAAAUAUUAAAUAGUUAAUAUUAGUAAUAUUUAAUUAAAAAU